GUCAUAAGUGGCAUUAGCAUAGUGGUCUAUUCAUCUGAACAAAGCAGGGUAGCAAUAUGCUUCCCAGCAUAUGUUCAAAAGUAAAUUCUAGGAUAUCCCUGGUCUCUGUAAACAAGAGAAUGGAUAAACAACAAAGUCAGCAAUAAGUAGGAAUAAAUUUCUGCUCUCUGCAAUGACACAGUGUGUGGGAAGACAGCUAGGUAAGCAAGGAGAUAGGCUGACUAAUCACUUGGAUGCCAUUGGAAAUGGACAUAAGGAAAUGAGAGGAAACCAGAGAUGCUAAGAAGCCUCCGUAACAAUCCAGGCAAAAGGAGAAGGUAUCUUGGAAUGGGACCGUGAUAGCAGAGUGGGGAAAGGGAUACAUUUCAUAGGAGCCUAUAGGAACUGUGAGGGACCAGACAUAAGUGGUGAGGUCCAGGAGUAACUCAAGGCUGACCGCUCAGUUUCAGUC
rnacentral:lncRNA from 1 species